rnacentral:rRNA from 1 species
CUCAAAGGAAUUGACGGGGACCCGCACAAGCGGUGGAUUAUGUGGAUUAAUUCGAUGCAACGCGAAAAACCUUACCUACCCUUGACAUGCUUGGAAUCUAAUGGAACAUAAGAGUGCCCGAAAGGGAGCCAGACACAGGUGCUGCAUGGCUGUCGUCAGCUCGUGUCGUGAGAUGUUGGGUUAAGUCCCGCAACGAGCGCAACCCUUGUCACUAAUUGCUAUCAUUUUUAAUGAGCACUUUAGUGAGACUGCCGGUGACAAACCGGAGGAAGGUGGGGAUGACGUCAAGUCCUCAUGGCCCUUAUGGGUAGGGCUUCACACGUAAUACAAUGGCGUGUACAGAGGGUUGCCAACCCGCGAGGGGGAGCCAAUCUCAGAAAGCACGUCGUAGUCCGGAUCGGAGUCUGCAACUCGACUCCGUGAAGUCGGAAUCGCUAGUAAUCGCGGAUCAGCAUGUCGCGGUGAAUACGUUCCCGGGUCUUGUACACACCGCCCGUCACACCAUGGGAGUGGUUUUCACCAGAAGCAGGUAGCUUAACCGCAAGGAGGGCGCUUGCCACGGUGGGGGUCAUGACUGGGGUGAAGUCGUAACAAGGUAUCCGUA